CCUACGGGGGGCAGCAGUGAGGAAUAUUGGUCAAUGGGCGCGAGCCUGAACCAGCCAAGUAGCGUGAAGGAUGACUGCCCUACGGGUUGUAAACUUCUUUUAUAAGGGAAUAAAGUGAGGCACGUGUGCCUUUUUGUAUGUACUUGAUGAAUAAGGAUCGGCUAACUCCGUGCCAGCAGCCGCGGUAAUACGGAGGAUCCGAGCGUUAUCCGGAUUUAUUGGGUUUAAAGGGAGCGUAGAUGGGUUGUUAAGUCAGUUGUGAAAGUUCGCGGCUCAACCGUAACACUGCAAUGGAUACUGGCAGUCUUGAGUACAGUUGAGGUAGGCGGAAUUCGUGGUGUAGCGGUGAAAUGCUUAGAUAUCACGAAGAACUCCGAUUGCGAAGGCAGCUUACCAAAGCGCCACUGACAUUGAUGCUCGAAAGUGUGGGUAUCGAACAGGAUUAGAUACCCGAGUAGUC
rnacentral:rRNA from 1 species